UAGGCAAUUCACUUAUACACU
rnacentral:miRNA from 1 species